GAAUGUGAAAAAUUGUUAUCAAUUAGGUCCCUCCAUAUGGUAUUGAGACAAGAACAAGUUUUAUUUUGAUGAUCCAGUCAAUGUGAAAUCUCAGUUUGAGGAAUAGGAAAUUUAUAGAGCAUAAAUAAUGGUGAUGCCAUUCACUUGUAUGCACAUUUAGUUGUAUUUGUCUUUGACACCAUGAGAAGGAACAAGAUCAGGAAAUGAAGGAGGGCAAACUAUUCUAAAGAUAUAGAAAAGAAGAGCUUUGUUUGCAUUUUAUGAAUUUCAAUCAACGACUCAGACAAGUGUACACAGAGUAGGAUGGAAGAAGCAUAAUAAACACUUCACUCAGACAGUAUGCAAGUAUUUGACUUCAACAAGUGAGCUCAAGAAUUUAGGAAAAGAUUUUCUGACCAAGUACUGUAGAAUGCAUUCUUUAAUUGGCAUGUUUCUCAUGGACUGCCUCGCUGCCGAUACUCCCCAUUUCUACGGCAAGUCAGCGCUAGUCUGAACAUGGACCUAGGUCUGAAGAAGCCUGUAGAAAUGAGUAGGCGAAAGCUCACAUGGGGAUCAGUUCAAGUACCUUCAUCACAAUACCAUGUCCUAAGGAUUACAGUAGCAGACAGAGAGAACUGUAAAAAGAGAUAUUCAGAGCUACGCAAUCUCAAAAUGCAGAUCAGAAAGACUUGUUUAAUCAGUUUUGUAAGUUGUAAAAAAUCAACAGUAAUUUCAAUAUUCAUAUUGUUUUAGAGUAGGUUUUCAUCAUAAUGGAUUUGUUUUUCUCUCUAUUCAGAAGAAUGAAAAUUGGUAGCAUUGAUCAGGAUCACACUUUUACCUGUUUGUAAGAGCCAAAGAUCCCUUGCAAGUGAUUAGUCUGUGUAACUGCAGUACACUGAUUUAUAAGAAACUUCACGAGACCCUCUUGAAUUUUGAUUUCAGAUUUAGACAAUAUUUAGCAAAAUUCAAUUUUUUAUCAUUAUAGUCCUUGUUUUAAAUUUGUGAAAACUUUGAAACCAAUUAAAUAUUCCAGCAUCCUCUUGUAGACAGUAUAGAGAAUGAAGUAAUCAUGCCAAAAUAAGUGAUGAUUACAGGGGACAAAACAGUGUCUUUUAUCCUGUUCUGGCUUAUCUUAAUGAGUUUGAUUGCUUUUAUCUCAUUUAAAGGAUCAAUGAACUUUGUCUACAUAUAAGGUUGUCAACCCUGUUAGUCAAGGCCAGUAAUUCAGUUGUGCAACUUUGAAAUUAUUUCAUUCCGUGUGCUUAUUUGAAUGAUCACUUUGCAAAGAAAUGUGUUAUUAACGUAAUAUUUAUGUUUUUAAUUGCUAUCUUCGUUGAGAUUUUUUUUUUAACAUGUCAGGUUAUAACUUGCAAUUGAUACAAGUUUUAUGAAAAAGCUAGGGACCUUGAUUAUGAUACAGUUAACUGAUUUCUCUUUAUUCUGUUUUGCUCAUUGUUAAUCAAGAAACCAGGUCUGUAUACAGUAUUUUUUUAAAUGAAGAAAAAAUAUGCAGUUACCUCAAAGGUUAUCUGAGUAUUUAAAUAACGUCACUGAGUAUUACAAGAAAUACAUUAAUUUCUGUCAGUGACUACUUGAUUAUGUGUUUCUGUAAAGUUGCCAUUGUAAUCAAAACCAUUUCUGAUUGCUUAGAGAUUUAUGAAUGGUAAAAUAAAAGCAGUAAACGUUUCCCCUUUAAUUGCCCUUAUUUAAAGACUACUUCAAUGGCAUGAUACAAUUCUUAUCAGCAUAUCUUAUUUAAAGGUUUAAAGUCUAUCUUGUAUUCCUCAAUGAAAGGCAACUAUUAACCAAGGAGUCUACAAACAAUGAUAAGAAGAGUCUACCUCAUUUGAAUAUAAAAGAUGAGAAGCAUACUAUAUUUUAUGUAAAAAACAAUUGUUAUCAGACAGGUAGAGAAAGAUUAAAGUCAUGAACUGUAGGGAAUUAUACUCAAUUUGUUUGAAAUAUAUAGUGAGUAUUUUAAUACUAUAUUUCAGUUAACACAGCUGUGUGGUGUUUUAUAAAGCUCUUUAUAAGAAAAGCAAAACUGUGAACAACUACAUCUUUUCUUGUGCUGCAUAUAAUUUGUCAGAUCUUAACAUCAUAGCAGUGAAUCCUUUUUAACCAUUUAAAUUUUCUUAACAAUUAAUCGAGCAUUCUAAUUAAAAAAUAUCACAUUCAAACUUAAUUUUAUGGUAAUAAAAAUGAUUGGAAUCUGAUUUAUAACCUCAGCACAUUGUGUGUGAGGUUGUAUGUAACUUAUAUUCAGCUUACACCACCCAUUAAUAUAAAAUAUAUAUAUGUGACAUUGUGUUGAGAUGAGGUGGGAGUUUCUUAAUUUAACCUAAUUUUUGAGUGGCUUCAUACACACUUGAUAUCAUUAUCAUUUGUUUGUAUAUCAGUAUCAGGUACUUUGGACUAUACCUUAGACAAAUGAUAAGAAACCUACAUUGAGCAAUGGCUGUAGCAAACAUUCAGCCAUCUAUACAUUGCAGUUACAGUAUAAUAUUAGAGUUUAUGUUAUAGUCUUAAAAGUUCAAGUUUUUUGUGUUAAGUAUAUAAUGCCCUUGCAUGGACUUUAAACAACAGGCGUUAAUAAAGAGAGGUAUAGGAGAACUAGCUUGUAAUCAGUAAUAUCAUGGAGCUAUUAUUCCUAUGAAGAGUUAUUUCACUGUGGAAACUCAUAGAACAAACUAGUUAAAAGUGACUAGAUUGCAAGGUUACCUGCUAUGGGUUUAUCUGUUUUGUUUUAUUUUUUCAACUAGUAUACAUAGUCACAUUCGAUUACCACUUUGCAUUUUUUAACUAUGUGGUAAAAAUAUGGCUAGACAUUUUAGUUGAACCCAGCUGAGUAUGCCUACUGAUGUAGUCAUUUUAACUAGUUUGUUUUCAGAGAAACAUUUUGACUAUUGUCAAAUUUUAAUGAUCUCAAGCUAUGAAUAUGUUUUAUGAAGAAAUAAAUGAAUAUGUAAAAGUAGAAA